rnacentral:tRNA from 2 species
GGCGGGAUUCCCGAGCGGUCAAAGGGGACGGACUGUAAAUCCGUUGGCUCAGCCUUCGCAGGUUCGAAUCCUGCUCCCGCCA